UACGUAGUGUGCGAGCGUUGUCCGGAAUUACUGGGCGUAAAGAGUUCGUAGGCGGUUUGUCGCGUCGUUUGUGAAAACCCGGGGCUCAACCUCGGGCCUGCAGGCGAUACGGGCAGACUUGAGUGUUUCAGGGGAGACUGGAAUUCCUGGUGUAGCGGUGAAAUGUGCAGAUAUCAGGAGGAACACCGGUGGCGAAGGCGGGUCUCUGGGAAACAACUGACGCUGAGGAACGAAAGCGUGGGUAGCAAACAGG
rnacentral:rRNA from 1 species